AAAUGAUCCAGUGCUUAAUCUUGAAAAACAUACAUCAUCCUUAUCUGUAGAUGAUCCACAAUAUAGCCUUAAUAGUGGCCUACCAUUUGAGCCCAUAGUAAGAGACUUUGGAGCCCAUCACCCCAGCAGUUACUCCUGGAAGUAUUAUGUAAGGUCAAGACAGUGAUCCAAAACCAACUGGCCAUUGGUUUGGUACCGACCCAGUGGAGGAGUGUCAUCUAUAGAAUCACCAACACCACUUCCCACAUCACUCUGGAUGUUCCUUGGAAAUCCAACUUACUGCCAUGGAAGUACUGAACAGUCCAACCCUAAAGCUACAUAUUAACUGGAGUGGAUUUGUGGGAACACCUUAUGGUCAACUUGGAAAACUACAUGCCUUUAUUGACAAAGGUGUGAAAUCCAGUCCUGUGUAGAGGGCCACUCCAAGGCCUUUGAACCAUUCAAGGUCACUUCCAGAUAGGCCCGAUGCUGAGGAACUGGUCUGGUGUGUGGAGGGAGAUGGGUUCAGUGUAUACUGUUGUGCAACAGAGGAAGUUAUAAUUUGUUUAAUAUUAUUAGUAGUAAAUAUGGUAAUAUCCAAGGCUGCAAUUGGGAUUGAGGCCCUAUUGUGCUGGGUGCUGUACAAUCACAAAAAAAAGACAGUCGCUGCCCUGAAAGGUUUAUGAUCUAAAGAUUUAGUGCUUACAAUAUGCUGGGAAAAGUACAAUUAACUAAAGAGGCUUUGACUCAGAAAAGCAGUGAAGCAGUAUCUACCGAAAUAGGAAGGAGAAUUAUGAGGAGGUAUUAGCUUACAUGGCUUUUGCUCUCCAGCUCUUUUCUUAGAACAUUCACAAAAACAGGAAAAGAUUGCCUGAUUUCCUAAUUAAGGGCCCAAUUAUUCUGUCAGCUACACUGGUGUAAAUCUUGAGUAAUUCCUUUGGCUUCAGCAUGUUACUUUAAAUUUACAUUAAUGUAUUUGAGAAAAGAAUUUGGCCCUAAAAAGGACAGACAGGAAAUGCCUUUGAUGAUCAUCAGCUGAAUCAGGCUUUAUUGGCAUGAUAAGCUGUUGAGUGUUGCCAAAGUGUAAGAAAAAGACAGGCCAUCAAUCAUCUGUCAGAGGCAGGUAUGUGCCACCCAGAAUAGAGUUACACACUAGGUUUGGGAUCAGAUCCCCUGUGUCUGUCUAUCAUUACAGUCCUUUCCUGAUCUUGUAGCAGCAGGUUGCUGCAACAUGAAGCCAAAAUAGAAUAUCAUUUGGUUAUGAGCACUGGGAGGGUAUGUCAAUAUGAAAAUAUAUGAAGAGAAUAUGUAAAUUGACGAAGAGAAUAUAUUAACUAAAGAUCCAAACCUGCAGACCUUCUAAGGCCAUGUCUACACUACAGUGGCACAGUACAGCACUGCAGCUGUGCUGCUGUAGCACCCUAACGUAGAUGCUUCCUACAUCGACUGAAGGUUUUUUUCUGUCAAUGUAGUUAAUCCACUUCUCUGGGAAGCAGUAGCUAGGUCAACAGAAGAAUUCUUCCAUUAACCAAGCUGCAUCCACACUGAGGGUUAGGCUGACUUUACUGUAGUGCUCAGGGUGCAACAUUUUUCACAGCAUUGAGUGACGGUGAUCUCAUUUUUAAGUGUAGAGCAGGCCUAAGAAAACUAUUUUGGGCUUGAUCCUGCAUUCCUUUUGCAUCCAAAACUCAUUGAUUUUGUGGUAUUCUGAAAAUUGUGUUAAAAUUGUGAUAGCACUUUAAAUUCCAUGGGGUUUUGCUAGGGCUCUGUAGGGAAGCAUGUGAUCAGAUUCACUCUGUGUGUAGCCAGCCAGGCUAGAGUGACAAACAGGGUCAGCGUGAGCUGUGCCUCUGCAUUUUUAGGAAGCAGCCUGCUUUCUCUCUCUCUGAUUUUGGAUUCUUAUUUGUUAUUGUUCUGAAUUCUAAGAAUAAAGUAGUGUUUGUUGCAA